GAUGAACGCUGGCGGCGUGCUUAACACAUGCAAGUCGAACGGAAAGGCUCCUGCUUGCCGGGGUUCUCGAGUGGCGAACGGGUGAGUAACACGUGGGUGAGCUGCCCUGCACUUCGGGAUAAGCCGGGGAAACUGGGUCUACUACCGGAUAGGACCACAUUAUGGAUGGUGUGGUGGAGAGUUUUUCGGUGUGGGAUGAGCUCGCGGCCUAUCAGCAUGUUGGUGGGGUAAUGGCCUACCAAGGCGCCGACGGGUAGCCGGCCGGAGAGGGCGUACGGCCACACUGGGACCGAGAUGCGGGCCAGAGUCCUACGGGAGGGAGCAGGGGGGAAUAUUGGACAAAGGGCGCAAGCCUGAUGGAGCGAGGCCGCGUGGUGGUUGACGGCCUUCGGGUUGUAAACACCGUUCGCUAGGGACGAAGCGUUUUUGUGACGGUACCUGGAGAAGAAGCACCGGCUAACUACGUG
rnacentral:rRNA from 1 species